UACGUAGGUGGCGAGCGUUGUCCGGAUUUACUGGGCGUAAAGGGCGUGCAGGCGGUCUGCUAAGUCUAGGGUGAAAGCUCCCGGCUCAACUGGGAGAGGUCCUUGGAUACUGACAGACUUGAGGGAGGCAGAGGAGAAUGGAAUUCCCGGUGUAGUGGUGAUAUGCGUAGAUAUCGGGAGGAACACCAGUGGCGAAGGCGGUUCUCUGGGCCUUACCUGACGCUGAGACGCGAAAGCGUGGGGAGCGAUCCGG
rnacentral:rRNA from 1 species